UAAUUAAAAUUUCAUCCUUUUGUACGGUUAAAAACUGGCUUGAUCGAGGCAAUAACCAAAUAGAGAUACAUGGCAUAUCACGUUUACAUCAUACUAACGUACACGGAUCGGUUUUUAACUAUAGAAAUAGAUAAAAAUUUUGACUG
rfam:Gossypium raimondii Chr09_contig_1804, whole genome shotgun sequence.